rnacentral:rRNA from 1 species
AGAACGCCCGGGCUUCGGCCUGGUUAUUCAUAACCCUUUGUUGUCCGACUCUGUUGCCUCCGGGGCGACCCUGCCUUCGGGCGGGGGCUCCGGGUGGACACUUCAAACUCUUGCGUAACUUUGCAGUCUGAGUAAACUUAAUUAAUAAAUUAAAACUUUUAACAACGGAUCUCUUGGUUCUGGCAUCGAUGAAGAACGCAGCGAAAUGCGAUAAGUAAUGUGAAUUGCAGAAUUCAGUGAAUCAUCGAAUCUUUGAACGCACAUUGCGCCCCCUGGUAUUCCGGGGGGCAUGCCUGUUCGAGCGUCAUUUCACCACUCAAGCCUCGCUUGGUAUUGGGCAACGCGGUCCGCCGCGUGCCUCAAAUCGUCCGGCUGGGUCUUCUGUCCCCUAAGCGUUGUGGAAACUAUUCGCUAAAGGGUGUUCGGGAGGCUACGCCGUAAAACAACCCCAUUUCUAAGGUUGACCUCGGAUCAGGUAGGGAUACCCGCUGAACUUAAGCAUAUCAAUAAGCGGAGGAAAAGAAACCAACAGGGAUUGCUCUAGUAACGGCGAGUGAAGCAGCAAUAGCUCAAAUUUGAAAUCUGGCGUCUUCGACGUCCGAGUUGUAAUUUGUAGAGGAUGCUUCUGAGUGGCCACCGACCUAAGUUCCUUGGAACAGGACGUCAUAGAGGGUGAGAAUCCCGUAUGCGGUCGGAAAGGCGCUCUAUACGUAGCUCCUUCGACGAGUCGAGUUGUUUGGGAAUGCAGCUCUAAAUGGGAGGUAAAUUUCUUCUAAAGCUAAAUAUUGGCCAGAGACCGAUAGCGCACAAGUAGAGUGAUCGAAAGAUGAAAAGCACUUUGGAAAGAGAGUUAAAAAGCACGUGAAAUUGUUAAAAGGGAAGGGAUUGCAACCAGACUUGCUCGCGGUGUUCCGCCGGUCUUCUGACCGGUCUACUCGCCGCGUUGCAGGCCAGCAUCGUCUGGUGCCGCUGGAUAAGACUUGAGGAAUGUAGCUCCCUCGGGAGUGUUAUAGCCUCUUGUGAUGCAGCGAGCGCCGGGCGAGGUCCGCGCU